rnacentral:rRNA from 1 species
AUACGGAGGGGACUAGCGUUGUUCGGAAUUACUGGGCGUAAAGCGUACGUAGGCGGAUCAGAAAGUAUGGGGUGAAAUCCCAGGGCUCAACCCUGGAACUGCCUCAUAAACUCCUGGUCUUGAGUUCGAGAGAGGUGAGUGGAAUUCCGAGUGUAGAGGUGAAAUUCGUAGAUAUUCGGAGGAACACCAGUGGCGAAGGCGGCUCACUGGCUCGAUACUGACGCUGAGGUACGAAAGUGUGGGGAGCAAACAGGAUUAGAAACCCCAGUAGUCC